rnacentral:rRNA from 1 species
UAGGGAAUCUUCCGCAAUGGACGAAAGUCUGACGGAGCAACGCCGCGUGAGUGAAGAAGGAUUUCGGUUCGUAAAACUCUGUUGUUAGGGAAGAAAAAAUGUAUAGUAACUAUAUACAAAAGAGACGGUACCUAACCAGAAAGCCACGGCUAACUACGUGCCAGCAGCCGCGGUAAUACGUAGGUGGCAAGCGUUGUCCGGAAUUAUUGGGCGUAAAGCGCGCGCAGGUGGUUUAGAAAGUCUGAUGUGAAAGCCCACGGCUCAACCGUGGAGGGUCAUUGGAAACUAAUAAACUUGAGUGCAGGAGAGAAAAGUGGAAUUCCUAGUGUAGCGGUGAAAUGCGUAGAGAUUAGGAGGAACACCGGUGGCGAAGGCGGCUUUUUGGCCUGCAACUGACGCUGAGGCGCGAAAGCGUGGGGAGCAAACAGG